rnacentral:rRNA from 1 species
AACGAACGCUGGCGGCAGGCUUAACACAUGCAAGUCGAACGCCCCGCAAGGGGAGUGGCGCACGGGUGAGUAACGCGUGGGAAUAUGCCCUUCGGUUCGGAAUAACACAGGGAAACUUGUGCUAAUACCGGAUACGAUCUACGGAUGAAAGAUUUAUCGCCGAGGGAGUAGCCCGCGUAGGAUUAGCUAGUUGGUGAGGUAAUGGCUCACCAAGGCGACGAUCCUUAGCUGGUCUGAGAGGAUGAUCAGCCACACUGGGACUGAGACACGGCCCAGACUCCUACGGGAGGCAGCAGUGGGGAAUAUUGGACAAUGGGGGAAACCCUGAUCCAGCCAUGCCGCGUGAGUGAUGAAGGCCUUAGGGUUGUAAAGCUCUUUCGCCAGGGAAGAUAAUGACGGUACCUGGAAAAGAAGCCUCGGCUAACUCCGUGCCAGCAGCCGCAGUAAUAC